rnacentral:RNase_P_RNA from 1 species
UGGGAAAGCUAAGCAAUCGCUGUUUUUAUAAACAGAGGAAAGUCUGGACUUCGCAGGAAAAGAUACCAGUGAAAGACUGGGGGCCGCAAGGCUACGGAAAGUAUAACAGAAAAUACACCGCCCUAAUGGGACAGGCUGAAAAUGCUAGCUUUAAGAGCUAGCCCCACUCUCAGAGAUGAGGGGUGCGAUAAACCCUAUCUGAAGCAAGAAAGUAAUGAGCGUUGUUUUUAGGAACAAUCUGUUUUUCCGCAGAGCUCAUUAGAAUAAAAUCGCUUGAGGGAUUUGGCAACAGAUUCCCUAGAUGAAUGAUUGCUCAACGACAGAAUCCGGCUUAACGCUUUCCCGGCUU